CGGCGAGUGAAGCGGCAACAGCUCAAAUUUGAAAUCUGGCCUCACGGUCCGAGUUGUAAUUUGCAGAGGAUGUCUCGGGCGCGAUACCGGUCUAAGUUCCUUGGAACAGGACGUCACAGAGGGUGAGAAUCCCGUACGUGACCGGUGGUUAACCCCAUGUGAGGCUCCUUCGACGAGUCGAGUUGUUUGGGAAUGCAGCUCUAAAUGGGUGGUAAAUUUCAUCUAAAGCUAAAUAUUGGCCAGAGACCGAUAGCGCACAAGUAGAGUGAUCGAAAGAUGAAAAGCACUUUGGAAAGAGAGUUAAAAAGUACGUGAAAUUGUUGAAAGGGAAGCGCUUGCAACCAGACUUGCCCGCGGGUGAUCAACCGUCCUUCGGGGCGGUGCACUCGCCCGUGAUCAGGCCAGUAUCGGUUUCAGCAGCCGGACAAAGACUUCGGGAACGUAGCUCCUCUCGGGGAGUGUUAUAGCCCGUCGUGUAAUACGGUUAGUUGGGACCGAGGACCGCGCUUCGGCUAGGAUACUGGCGUAAUGGUUGUCAGCGACCCGUCUUGAAACACGGACCAAGGAGUCUACCAUCUAUGCGAGUGUUUGGGUGUUAAACCCAUGCGCGUAAUGAAAGUGAACGGAGGUGGGAACCCUUCGGGGGGCACCAUCGACCGAUCCUGAUGUCUUCGGAUGGAUUUGAGUACGAGCAUAGCUGGUGGGACCCGAAAGAUGGUGAACUAUGCGUGAAUAGGGUGAAGCCAGAGGAAACUCUGGUGGAGGCUCGCAGCGGUUCUGACGUGCAAAUCGAUCGUCAAAUUUGCGUAUAGGGGCGAAAGACUAAUCGAACCAUUAUUCCUCGCGACUAGGUGGUUAAUCAAAGAUAUGCGAAAGCGUAUCGUGGAAGUUCGCUUCGGCGGACGAUACNGUCAAUGUGUGGNUUAUAGGACCNGGUAGNNCCCGUAAANANNNNNNNNNNNNNNNNNNNNNNNNNNNNNNNNNNNNNNNNNNNNNNNNNNNNNNNNNNNNNNNNNNNNCUUUGAGAUGGCCCGAGACCACUUUGUUAUAAAAGUGUGUGAUAUCGCUAGUAGCUGGUUCCUGCCGAAGUUUCCCUCCAGGAUAGCAGUAACGUUUUCAGUUUUAUGAGGUAAAGCGAAUGAUUAGAGGCCUUGGGGCAGAAACUGCCUUAACCUAUUCUCAAACUUUAAAUAUGUAAGAAGUCCUUGUUACUUAGUUGAACGUGGACAUUUGAAUGCACCGUUACUAGUGGGCCAUUUUUGGUAAGCAGAACUGGCGAUGCGGGAUGAACCGAACGUGAGGUUAAGGUGCCGGAAUAUACGCUCAUCAGACACCAUUUUGUGGUGUCGACCCCCGGGGCUUAUGUGCCCCGGGCGAGUCGUCUGAUUUCCAGGCGGCGAGGUCUCCGAUCUACGUGGAGUGCUGGCCCCCAGCUCACCCGUAGCCCCGUGGGAUACACGGGGCCUACAGAUCAAGGGCAGGCCGGUGGACCCCCAGGGGCUCACUCAAGAUAUGACCGUUCCCCAGGUGCGAGCCCGGGGGUGAAAAGCAAAAGGUGUUAAUUCAUCUAGACAGCCGGACGGUGGCCAUGGAAGUCGGAAUCCGCUAAGGAGUGUGUGAGAUGUUGCACACUGUACAGCGCGUGUCGCUAGCGAGGGGCCCCGGAAAGCCCCCCGUGACAGCUCCAGGAUGCUAGGAUGCGCCCCGGCCAAGGGGUGCAACUCGCAGUGGGGGGAUCCCCCCAUCCACAGACUAGACGGAGCAGACCGCGGGCGAACCCCGCGGUUGAGAUAUAGUCGUUUACGGGCCCCGGGAGGGUGCCUAUCCGCUAGAACAACUCACCGGCCGAAUGAAUUAGCCCUGAAAAUGGAUGGCGCUCAAGCGUGUUACCCAUACCUCGCCGCCAGGGUAGAAACGAUGCCCUGGCGAGUAGGCAGGCGUGGGGGUCAG
rnacentral:rRNA from 1 species